rnacentral:rRNA from 1 species
AUACGUAGGUGGCAAGCGUUAUCCGGAAUUAUUGGGCGUAAAGAGUGAGCAGGCGGUUAAUUAAGUCUGAGGUUAAAGCGUGGGGCUCAACCCCAUAAAGCCUUGGAAACUGAUUGACUAGAGUACGGGAGAAGUGAAGGGAACUCCAUGUGUAGCGGUGAAAUGCGUAGAUAUAUGGAAGAACACCAGUGGCGAAGGCGCUUCACUAGCCCGAAACUGACGCUCAGUCACGAAAGCGUGGGUAGCAAAUAGGAUUAGAUACCCUAGUAGUCCACGCCGUAAACGAUGAGUACUAAGUGUUGGAUGUCAAAGUUCAGUGCUGCAGUUAACGCAAUAAGUACUCCGCCUGAGUAGUACGUUCGCAAGAAUGAAACUCAAAGGAAUUGACGGGG